GGGCCCGUGGUAUAAUGGCAACACGUAUCCAUGGCAUGGAUAAGUUCGGGGUUCGACUCCCCGCGGGUCCA
rnacentral:tRNA from 1 species